rnacentral:rRNA from 1 species
GAUGAACGCUAGCGGCAGGCUUAACACAUGCAAGUCGAGGGGCAGCGAGGGUAGCAAUACCUGUCGGCGACCGGCGGAAGGGUGAGUAACGCGUGAGCAACAUACCCGUAUCAGUGGGAUAAUACAGGGAAACUUGUUCUAAUAUCGCAUAAUAUUAUUCAGAGGCAUCUUUGGAUAAUUAAAGUUACGGCGGAUACGGAAUGGCUCGCGUGACAUUAGCUAGAUGGUAGGGUAAUGGCCUACCAUGGCGAUGAUGUCUAGGGGUUCUGAGAGGGAGGUCCCCCACACUGGAACUGAGACACGGUCCAGACUCCUACGGGAGGCAGCAGUGAGGAAUAUUGGACAAUGGAUGGAAAUCUGAUCCAGCCAUGCCGCGUGCAGGAAGGCGGCCCUAUGGGUUGUAAACUGCUUUUGUACGGGAGCAAUAAGGUUUACGAGUUAGAUUGAUGAGAGUACUGUACGAAUAAGCAUCGGCUAACU